rnacentral:rRNA from 1 species
UACGUAGGGUGCGAGCGUCGUCCGGAAUUAUUGGGCGUAAAGAGCUCGUAGGCGGUUUGUCGCGUCUGCUGUGAAAACCCGAGGCUCAACCUCGGGCCUGCAGUGGGUACGGGCAGACUAGAGUGCGGUAGGGGGAGAUUGGAAUUCCUGGUGUAGCGGUGGAAUGCGCAGAUAUCAGGAGGAACACCAAUGGCGAAGGCAGAUCUCUGGGCCGUAACUGACGCUGAGGAGCGAAAGCAUGGGGAGCGAACAGG